rfam:Ceraceosorus bombacis genome assembly, contig: Scaffold_251
GCAUCUAUGGGUUAGUGGUAUACUGCUCGCUUGCCAAUUAGCGCAUCGCGUAAUGAACUUGCGGGCGACACGGGUUCGAUUCCCGUUGGAUGCA